rnacentral:lncRNA from 1 species
GCCGGGUGCCUCGGGAGCGGGGACACCGCCCACUACGCCCGCGCUGCUCAGCGCUACCGCUUCCCCGCAACUGUGCGGAGUGGGAGCCGGUGCCCGGUCCGACCGGCUUGGGCGGCGCGCCUUCACCCGGCGCCAGGUCCGGACCCCUCCCUAGUAGCUUCGCGGCCUCCCUGCCUCCUGUGCGCGGCCUGGCUCGGAGAGGUCGGGCGGGCAGGCUUUCCCGACUGCAGGCGAGGCAGUGCGCGGCUCACCCCAGUCCCCGACCCACGUGAAGCGUACAGGGCAUUUUAUUAACCGGGAAGGACGGUGCGGAAGAGCGAGCAGGACGCCUCUUCACCCCGCGUAGGCAGUGUCGUCGUUGCUGUCACUAAAGGCGGAGGAAGAGAGCUCUUCGCGGGGCGUGCAGACCGGGCACCGCUGCCGCAUGUCGUCCCAGCACGACCAGCAGUACACGGCCUCGCAGUCCAGCGUCCGGCACACGUAGGACUCGGGCGUCUCGGGUGCCUGGCACACCACGCAGCGCCGGCACAGCCAGCGGCGCAGGAGCGGGCAGCCGCGGUGCAGGAUAUCCGCCAGCGGGUGGCGCUGUUGGGAGGUGAGAAAACUGAUGCUUGGAGAUGUGAUCACUGCCCAGGGUCACCCAAUGAUAACAUGCAUGCAUAUGGAACUUGCUGCAUGCCAGCACCAUCUUUGCGGAGUGGCAGCAGAGUCCGUUUGCCCUGGAAAACAAAUGUCCACACAGUUAGGAAGCCCAAGGGCCCUCUGCCCUUUCCUCUCUGCCUUCCUGGAGCAUGAACCCACACAGGGCACACAGCAGCAAGGCAUCCCCGGGCAGUGCCGUGCCCACUCACCAGCUUCUUCCUGCGGUCAUCGAUCUGGCAGAAGUUCUCCUCAUCUAUCCCCAAACAUGGGCUUCC